GACGAACGCUGGCGGCGUGCUUAACACAUGCAAGUCGAACGGUAAGGCCCUUCGGGGUACACGAGUGGCGAACGGGUGAGUAACACGUGGGUGAUCUGCCCUGCACUUCGGGAUAAGCCUGGGAAACUGGGUCUAAUACCGGAUAGGACCACUGCCUGCAUGGGUGGUGGUGGAAAGCUUUUGCGGUGUGGGAUGGGCCCGCGGCCUAUCAGCUUGUUGGCGGGGUGAUGGCCUACCAAGGCGACGACGGGUAGCCGGCCUGAGAGGGUGACCGGCAACAUUGGUACUGAGAUACGGCCCAGACUCCUACGGGAGGCAGCAGUGGGGAAUAUUGAACAAUGGGCGCAAGCCUGAUUCAGCGACGCCGCGUGAGGGAUGACGGCCUUCGGGUUGUAAACCUCUUUCAGCACCGACGAAGCGCAAGUGACGGUAGGUGCAGAAGAAGGACCGGCCAACUACGUGCCAGCAGCCGCCGUAA
rnacentral:rRNA from 1 species